UACGUAGGUGGCGAGCGUUGUCCGGAUUUACUGGGCGUAAAGAGCGCGCAGGCGGUCGUUCAAGUCGCGUGUGAAAGCCCCCGGCUCAACUGGGGAGGGUCACGCGAUACUGAUCGACUGGAAGGCAGGAGAGGGUAGUGGAAUUCCCGGUGUAGUGGUGAAAUGCGUAGAUAUCGGGAGGAACACCAGUGGCGAAGGCGACUACCUGGCCUGUUCUUGACGCUGAGGCGCGAAAGCUAGGGGAGCAAACGGG
rnacentral:rRNA from 1 species